CAAUUUCUCCUCCCCCUUCCUCGAGUCUCCAGCUCCGGGCCGCAGCCAGAGCCGAGAGCAGGGGCAGCCCCGGCCUGCCUGCGUGGUUAGCACCACAGUCACUCAGCGGAGGAGACCAGCGCCAGCAGGAAAGGAGCUGCCUAUGUAUUUAAGGCAUCACCUCCCUGAAUGCAUCCGAUGAAGUGAGCUGUAGCUCACGAAAGCUUAUGCUCUAAUAAAUUUGUUAGUCUCUAAGGUGCCACAAGUACUCCUUUUCUUUUUGCGAAUACAGACUAACACGGCUGCUACUCUGAAACCUCCCUGAGUAAAACCUCUCCCUCCCAGCUCCUCUUCACUGCUGGGGAAGGCGAGGAAAAAGCUUCCUUCUUGGGCUGUGGAGGGAAGUUUCCAUCCUACUUCAUCCCUGAAAUAUGUUCCUGCCCUGGGUGUCUAUUCUUACACCGCUUCUGAUUCUGGGGGUUAAUGGAGAGUCAGUGACACAGCCUGAUGACACAGUGACAGUAUCCCAAGGUGAACCAGUGCUGCUGAAAUGCAUCUAUGACACUUCCUAUAUUCCUACGCUCUGGUGGUACGAGCAGUACCCAAAUGAAGCCCCUCACCUCUUGCUGACACAAUAUGAAGCAUCGGAUGAGGAGGAGAGAAGGAGCCGGCGAGGGUUCUCCGCCACACCCGACAAACAGGGGAAGACUUUCCACCUAAAGAAAAGCGCCAGUGAACUUCGCGACUCAGCCGUCUACUACUGCGCGAUGAGAGACACAGUGACCGCACCCAGCAGGGCCGCUGCGCAAAAACCUGCUGGGGCAAAAGGAAGCGGCACUGAAGAUCUGUGGGUUCGAGCCCCAGAAGAACAGACUUUUCACAGCGCCAUUGGAGUCAGUGAAUCCCAUCCCCAUGGUGUAAAUGUGCGUAGCUUCACGGGAGUCAACGGGCCAGAUCCCAAACAGUUGGGAGUGGUUGGAGCUCAAUGGAAGCAAAUGAUCCAGUUCCUCAAAAUGUUUUAAAAUCAAUGAGGAAUUGCA